GAACGAGUGGCGGACGGGUGAGUAACACGUGGGUAACCUGCCCUUAAGUGGGGGAUAACAUUUGGAAACAGAUGCUAAUACCGCAUAAAUCCAAGAACCGCAUGGUUCUUGGCUGAAAGAUGGCGUAAGCUAUCGCUUUUGGAUGGACCCGCGGCGUAUUAGCUAGUUGGUGAGGUAACGGCUCACCAAGGCAAUGAUACGUAGCCGAACUGAGAGGUUGAUCGGCCACAUUGGGACUGAGACACGGCCCAAACUCCUACGGGAGGCAGCAGUAGGGAAUCUUCCACAAUGGACGCAAGUCUGAUGGAGCAACGCCGCGUGAGUGAAGAAGGCUUUCGGGUCGUAAAACUCUGUUGUUGGAGAAGAAUGGUCGGCAGAGUAACUGUUGUCGGCGUGACGGUAUCCAACCAGAAAGCCACGGCUAACUACGUGCCAGCAGCCGCGGUAAUACGUAGGUGGCAAGCGUUAUCCGGAUUUAUUGGGCGUAAAGCGAGCGCAGGCGGUUUUUUAAGUCUGAUGUGAAAGCCCUCGGCUUAACCGAGGAAGUGCAUCGGAAACUGGGAAACUUGAGUGCAGAAGAGGACAGUGGAACUCCAUGUGUAGCGGUGAAAUGCGUAGAUAUAUGGAAGAACACCAGUGGCGAAGGCGGCUGUCUGGUCUGUAACUGACGCUGAGGCUCGAAAGCAUGGGUAGCGAACAGGAUUAGAUACCCUGGUAGUCCAUGCCGUAAACGAUGAAUGCUAGGUGUUGGAGGGUUUCCGCCCUUCAGUGCCGCAGCUAACGCAUUAAGCAUUCCGCCUGGGGAGUACGACCGCAAGGUUGAAACUCAAAGGAAUUGACGGGGGCCCGCACAAGCGGUGGAGCAUGUGGUUUAAUUCGAAGCAACGCGAAGAACCUUACCAGGUCUUGACAUCUUUUGAUCACCUGAGAGAUCAGGUUUCCCCUUCGGGGGCAAAAUGACAGGUGGUGCAUGGUUGUCGUCAGCUCGUGUCGUGAGAUGUUGGGUUAAGUCCCGCAACGAGCGCAACCCUUAUGACUAGUUGCCAGCAUUUAGUUGGGCACUCUAGUAAGACUGCCGGUGACAAACCGGAGGAAGGUGGGGAUGACGUCAAAUCAUCAUGCCCCUUAUGACCUGGGCUACACACGUGCUACAAUGGAUGGUACAACGAGUUGCGAGACCGCGAGGUCAAGCUAAUCUCUUAAAGCCAUUCUCAGUUCGGACUGUAGGCUGCAACUCGCCUACACGAAGUCGGAAUCGCUAGUAAUCGCGGAUCAGCACGCCGCGGUGAAUACGUUGCCG
rnacentral:rRNA from 2 species